AUGUUUCCCCUGACGUUAAGUCCAGUCGUGACCGACUCUGGGGGUUGGAGCUCAUCUCCAUUUCUAAGCCGAAAAGCCAGCGUUGUCCGUAGACACCUCCAAGGUCAUGUGGCCAUAGGCAUGACUGCAUGGAGCGCUGUUAACUUCCCUCUGGAGCGGUACCUAUUGAUCUACUCACAUUUGCAUGUUUUCAAACUGCUAGGUUUGAAUCCAGGAGCGGAGUGAGAAGCUGUUAGCUUCUGCCAACCUAGCUUCUGCCAACCUAGCAGUUCGAAAACAUGCAAAUGUGAGUAGAUCAAUAGAUACUGCUCUAGCAGAAAGGUAACGACACUCCAUGCAGUCAUGCCAGCCACAUGACCUUGGAGGUGUCUAUGGACAACGCCGGCUCUUUGGCUUAGAAAUGGAGAUGAGCACCAACCCCCAGAGUCGGAGACGACUGGACUUAAUAAUGUCCUUUAUCUUUACCUACCUGCCUUCUUCCAAACAGCUCAUGCUCAUUCCUUAGCUUUAACCUAGCUUGUUGGUGCACUAACACUGUAUUUUAUUUAUCAUUUAUUUAUUUCCAUCAUUUCUAUCCCACCCUUCUAGCCCAAAGGGACUCAAGGCGGCUUACAAAACUAGCAAAAUUUGAUGCCAAAACACAACAGUACAAAAGAAUAAAACAUAUGUACAGUAGAGUCUCACUUAUCCAAGCUAAAUGGGCCAGCAGAAGCUUGGAUAAGUGAAUAUUUUGGAUAAUAAGGAGGGAUUAAGGAAAAGCCUAUUAAACAUCAAAUUAGGUUAUGAUUUUUCAAAUUAAGCACCAAAACAUCAUGUUUUACAACAAAUUUGACAGAAAAAGCAGUUCAAUACGCAGUAAUGUUAUGUUGUAAUUACUGUAUUUACAAAUUUAGCACCAAAAUAUCACGAUAUGUUGAAAGCAUUGACUACAAAAAUGGCUUGGAUAAUCCAGAACCUUGGAUAAGUGAGACUCUAUUGUAGUUAAAAACUGAUUUAAAACAAUACAAAAUACUUGAGCCAACUCAUCCACAAAAACCUUGUACAUAAACCUUAGUCCAGACCAAGUCAAAGCCAACAAAACUUAUUCUUUGAACGCUUUCUCGCAUAGCCAGGUCUUCACUUUCUUUCUAAAACUCAAAAGGGAUGGAGCCUGCUGGAUGUCACUUGGGAGGGAGUUCCACAGCCGAGGAGCCACCACUGAAAAGGCCCUGUCUCUCAUCCCCGCCAGACGCACUUGUGAGGCUGGUGGAACCGAGAGCAGGGCUUCCCCUGAAGAUCUUAAAUUACGUGGUAGGUCAUAGACACGUUUGGACAAGUAAGCUGGGCUGGAACCAUUUAGAGCUUUAUAGGCUAAAGCCAGCACUUUGAAUCGUGCUCGGUAACUGAUCGGCAGCCAGUGGAGCUGACGUAACAGAGGAGUAGUACGCUCCCUGUACGUCGCUCCGGUUAACAACCUGGCUGCCUGCCUUCCACUGGACUAAUUGAAGCUUCUGAACAGUCUACAAAAGCAGCCCCACGUAGAGUGUGUUGAAGUAGUCUAAUCGGGAUGUAAUAAGAGCAUGGACCACCAUGGCCAAGUCUGGCUUCUCAAGGUAUGGGCACAGCUGUCACACAAGUUUUAGCUGUGCAAAGGCUGAGACCUGGUGUUACACCCCUAGGCAGCGCGAGCACUGAAAACCAACACAGAGGCCAAUAACAAUAUAAUAUCUUUAUAAAGCAAAAAAAGUUCCAAAUGAAAAUAGGCAGAAAAUUGAGCAUGCAAUUGACCUUUCAGGAAAGAUCAAAAUGAGUCCAAUAAGUGAAAGUCUUAAGUUCAAUAUUAGGGUCCAAAUUCCAGAAACCGAAACACACUCAAACUCAGCUGGAGUAUUGAGUGGGGGAAAAGGAGCAAGGUAUCUCUGAAGUAGAAGUCCAAGAACAGGAUUACAAGGCAAGGCAAGAGCUGGAUGUACUGGAUCUGAAACGCAGUCCAAUCUUGGUAAGAAGGGUAAACGGCGCCCAGUCUACUCAGGAGUAAACGCACCAUCAAACCGCUUGGAUUUCAGGAGCUAGAGACGAUGAUGCUUCUCAGUCAGAAGUAAAGUUGACACCGCGCAGGAAAGUUCCCAGCCCAAAACUUUUAUUGAAGUUCAUAAGCUCCCCCAAACCAGGUGCCUGCCUCCCUAAUUCUUCCCAAAAAAAACUAAGAUUAGCCAUAGUCACCACGUUCCGCUAAUCUGGCGCUUCUCCUUAAACUUUGUCUCUGCGAUCUGUCAGUUUUCACAAAGGCCUUCCAAUCAAACACUAACCCAUCUGGAGAAUCUGGGAGAGCCGUCACUGUCUCAAGGGCAUCCUUAAUUGACGCUGGCUCAGAAAUGUCAACAGGAGGCAUCUGGAAAGGAGUUGAAUCUUGCUGACUUCGGGAAAAAACCCAAGUCUUCUUCGUUCUGGUCAGCAAUGACUACAGGGUUAGGGGCCAAAGAUGCCUGAGGCAUCACACCUGGGGCUCCAGGCUCAACGAUGAGUCUAGGAUCACCCGAGACUGCACACCUUUGCCUUCAGGACAUCCUGGAUAGAGAUGACACCAGACCCCGAAACUCCGGAUGAUCUCUCCCAGCGGCUUCAUGUAUAUGUUGAACAACAUGGGGGACAAUACAGAGCCCUGCAGGACCCCACAAGUCAACGGUUGUGGGGCCGAGCAGGAGUCCCCCAGUGACACCAUCUGGGACCGACCCUCCAGGAAUGAGAGGAGCCACUGCAAAACAGUGCCUCCAAACCCCAUCCCUGCGAGGCAUCCCAGAAGGAUACCGUGAUUGACAGUAUCGAAGGCCGCUGAGAGGUCCAGCAGAACCAGCAGGGACACUC
ensembl:lncRNA